GUUCAGACAUUAUGUCUUGCAUCUGUUGGAGAAACCUACGCUCAGGCUAGCUUCCAUGAAGCUACUCUAAAGAUACUGCGACCGACUCUACUUGAAAGAUACCCCAAAAGAUAAGCUCAAGAACGACGUCUGCGAACAUUGUGUCAGUUCCGACAAGCUAGGUUUCGAAGGAAACAAUUAAUUAAUUUAAGAAGACUCUCCACCUUCCCUAACAAUACUACAAAUAAUGGUUAAAGCGACGAAUGAAAAUG